rnacentral:ncRNA from 1 species
AUUAUACUGCCACCGGGUAGUUGAUGUUAACAUUAGCAUCCAAGAGCAUUUCGUUAGGUCUUUGAAGAAAUGCUUGCGGGUGCUUUUUUGGA